GCCUGGGUGGCUCAGUCGGUUGAGCAUCCGGCUUCGGCUCAGGUCAUGAUAUCACAGUUUGUGGGUUCGAGCCCCGCAUCGGGCU
rfam:Felis catus isolate Cinnamon breed Abyssinian chromosome F2, whole genome shotgun sequence.